UACGUAGGGUGCGAGCGUUAAUCGGAAUUACUGGGCGUAAAGCGUGCGCAGGCGGUUCGUUAAGUUCGUUGUGAAAGCCCCGGGCUCAACCUGGGAACUGCAAUGGAAACUGGCGGGCUUGAGUAUGGCAGAGGGGGGUGGAAUUCCGCGUGUAGCAGUGAAAUGCGUAGAGAUGUGGAGGAACACCAGUGGCGAAGGCGACUUUCUGGCCUAUAACUGACGCUGAGGCGCGAAAGCGUGGGGAGCAAACAGG
rnacentral:rRNA from 1 species